ACACGACUACAUUAGAUACCCGUGUAGUCCUAGCCGUAAACGAUACUCGCUAGGUGUCGGCCACGGUGCGACCGUUGUCGGUGCCGUAGGGAAGCCGUGAAGCGAGCCACCUGGGAAGUACGGCCGCAAGGCUGAAACUUAAAGGAAUUGGCGGGGGAGCACCACAACGGGUGGAGCUUGCGGUUUAAUUGGAUUCAACGCCGGAAAUCUUACCGGGACCGACAGCAACAUGAAGGCCAGGCUGAAGACUUUGCCGGAUCAGCUG
rnacentral:rRNA from 1 species